rnacentral:rRNA from 1 species
CCUACGGGGGGCUGCAGUCGAGAAUCUUCGGCAAUGGGCGCAAGCCUGACCGAGCGACGCCGCGUGCGGGAUGAAGGCCCUUGGGUUGUAAACCGCUGUCAGAGGGGAUGAAAUGUAUGUGGGCACUCCCAUGUAUUUGACAUAGCCUCAGAGGAAGCACGGGCUAAGUUCGUGCCAGCAGCCGCGGUAAUACGAACUGUGCAAACGUUAUUCGGAAUCACUGGGCUUAAAGGGUGCGUAGGCGGCUCAUUAAGUAGGGUGUGAAAGCCCCCGGCUCAACCGGGGAAUUGCGCUCUAAACUGAUGGGCUGGAGUGAGAUAGGGGUGUGUGGAACUUCCGGUGGAGCGGUGAAAUGUGUUGAUAUCGGAAGGAACGCCGGUGGCGAAAGCGACACACUGGGUCUCAACUGACGCUGAGGCACGAAAGCCAGGGGAGCAAACGGGAUUAGAUACCCCUGUAGUCC